UAAGAGGGAAAAAAACUACGCAAAAAAUGUAAGAAUGUAAAAGAAAGUCAAGUAUAUGGGAUAAUAUUACGGUGGAACCAGGACUGCAUUGAAAGAGAUCUGGAAAACUUUGGCAUUUAUGAAUUCUUAAGAGAAAAAAAAAAACAUGUCUGUAAGACUAAAAUGAAGCGUAAGCAGAGACAAGAUGUAUUCAAAAUCAAAAUAACAGAAGUCCAUGGCCAUUUAUGAAGCCCACAGGAAAAGCCAGUGGGAUAAUUCAGAAGUAUACUACAGCAAGGUUAAAAUCCUGACAACUCCCAGACAGUCUCUCCAUUCUUGGUUGUGAAAUUUUUCUUGAUUCAACUGUGUCCAAGCUUAGGAAACAAAUGUUUCUUCCCAUUUUUUAGAGCUGAUCAUGAACUGAGAAGUUUGGGGCUCUGUCUUGCUCAGCUCUCUCAUGUCAGACUGGGAACUUACGUCAGUUGACAUUGUCAAGCUUUUUGUUACU